GUAAAACCUCAUCCAGAAAGAAGCAAGGACUUAAUCUGGACAGACUUGGGAUCUCAUGUAAAACAGAAGACUGAAGGCUGGGGAUGUGGCUCAGUUAGGAAAGUGUUUGCUGUAUAAACAAGAGGCUCCGAGGUCACAUCUUCAACAGCAAUGUUAAAACCUGCCCGGGUGACGGCUGUCCACAUUCACAGCAGCACCAGGAAGUGCUCUAAAACGGAUCUCACAAGAAAUCCACUGUGAACCGAGCCUGGUCUCCAACUGCUGAUCCUCCUGUCUCCGUCUCUCCUGAGUGCUUGGAUUGCAGACCUGUGCCGCUGGCCUGACUUGAGAGUAGUCCUCUGGAUGCCAGGCAAGGAUGGAAGGAACGAUUUCUUCACAGGACUCAGGAGCCGCGUGGUGGCCAGUCUACAGCUUUUCUGUAGACCCAAGAGCAAACUCACCACUGAUGACCGUGAAUUCUACUUCCUGGUGUUGGAUUCAUCAGCAACAGCAUGAUAGGAAGCCACAACCGAGGUGCAACUGGGCAUCUGAGAGUCUUCAGGGACCAGCCACCUGCAUGGGAACUCCUUCAUGUUUCAGAACAGCUUCUCAUUGGUCUGUCCCCAAACCCCUUGCUCCAGAGAUCCUCCUGCCUCAGCCUUCCAAGUAACCAUGUAAGAACCCUACUUGCUGCCUUGCUCGGCUGCCUUUCUGAUACAGUCUAGGCUUAUAGGCCUAAGGAUGGCACUACCAAAGGUGUGCUGGCCCCUCCUACAUCAAUUAGCUAUUAGAAAAUGCCUCACAUACUUGUCAACAAGUCAAUCUGAUUUGGGCAAUUCUUCAGUUGAGGUUAUCUCUUCUAGCUGAUUCUAGGUGCAUGUCAGGUUGACUGCUGAUGUUAGCUAGGACAGGAGAACCAGAAGCAGCCUAUAUGGUCGCACUUGGCUUGGUCCAUUCUCCCCUCUGGAAGGUGUACAUCAUUCUGUUUACUCUCCUGCUGAAAUAAACUUUUCUCACCAGUUCCAUCCAUGCCCUGGCAUAAAUUCUUCUCCUCUGGGUACACGAGAAGAGACUUCUGACUUCAUAGCUUGAGAUCCUAUGGUAUGUUGGAGGAGAUAUCUCCCCAUGACAAUGUGGAAUGGCAUGUUAGUCUCUGAUUAAACUGUCACUUGAUCUCUUCCGACUCCAA